rnacentral:rRNA from 1 species
CCUACGGGUGGCAGCAGUGAGGAAUAUUGGUCAAUGGGCGGAAGCCUGAACCAGCCAAGCCGCGUGAGGGAAGAAGGUACAGCGUAUCGUAAACCUCUUUUGUCAGGGAACAAAGGCGGGGACUAGUCCCCGGAUGAGGAUACCUCAAGAAAAAGCAUCCGCUAACUCCGUGCCAGCGGCCGCGGUAAUACGGGGGAUGCGAGGCUUAUCCGGAUUUAUUGGGUUUAAAGGGUGCGCAGGCGGCCUGUUAAGUCAGCGGUAAAAGCCCGGGGCUCAACCCCGGCGAGCCGUUGAAACUGGCGGGCUUGAGUGGGAGAGAAGUAAGCGGAAUGCGCGGUGUAGCGGUGAAAUGCUUAGAUAUCGCGCAGAACCCCGAUUGCGAAGGCAGCGUACCGGCUCCACACUGACGCUGAGGCACGAAAGCGUGGGGAUCGAACAGGAUUAGAUACCCUAGUAGUC